rnacentral:rRNA from 1 species
CAGUCGCACGAGAAAGGGGAGCAAUCCCUGAGUACAGUGGCGCACGGGUGAGUAACACGUGACUAAUCUACCCUCGAGUGGGGAAUAACUGAGAGAAAUCUUAGCUAAUACCGCAUAACACUUACGAGUCAAAGCAGCAAUGCGCUUGGGGAGGAGGUCGCGGCCGAUUAGCUAGUUGGCGGGGUAAUGGCCCACCAAGGCGAUGAUCGGUAUCCGGCCUGAGAGGGCGCACGGACACACUGGAACUGAAACACGGUCCAGACUCCUACGGGAGGCAGCAGUGGGGAAUUUUGCGCAAUGGGGGAAACCCUGACGCAGCAACGCCGCGUGGAGGAUGAAGUAUCUUGGUACGUAAACUCCUUUCGAUAGGGAAGAUAAUGACGGUACCUAUAGAAGAAGCCCCGGCUAACUUCGUGCCAGCAGCCGCG